rnacentral:rRNA from 1 species
AUGAGAUGCCUAAGUGGGAACUGCCGGGGGCUUGGGAACUCCGAGGCAGUUCGAGAGCUUCGCAACUUGGUGAAGCAAGAAGGGCCUGCGCUGCUCUUUGUUAUGGAGACGAAGAGCAGAGCAAAGAGGGUGGAGAGUUUGCAGACUAAUCUGGGGUUUUUGGGGUGCUUUGCAGUGGACAGUUCAGGACUAAGUGGUGGUAUAGACCUAUUUUGGUCUAAAGAGGUUAAUGUUGAGUUGAAAAGUUUCAGUCCCAGCCAUAUUGAUGUUAUGGUUAGGGAAGCUGACUUGCUUGCUCGUGAGUGGAGAUUGACAGGGUUCUAUGGUGAACCGAGAAGUGAAGAUAGGCACCAUAGCUGGAGAUGUUUGAGGGCAUUGCAUGCGAUCCCACAUCAAGCAUGGUUGUGCCUAGGAGAUUUUAAUGAGACCUUGUACAGUACAGAACAUUUCAGUAGGGCUGCAAGACCGGAAUGA